rnacentral:rRNA from 1 species
AUGUGUGCCUCCACCUCCUCUUACAAUCCCUUACCACCUCCUGCCAUCUCCCUUCUCUAUUCUUCCCAAAUUCAUCCACAAAGUGCUGCUGCUCCAUGGACGCGAGUGGUCGUUCCCGGCAACUCAGAGCACCUCCAUCCACUCCCUUGCACCAGGAACUUCCCCUCCUCACCAUGGAUCCAUUCGGAGAAGAAAGACCGCGACCCGUCGACCACAGACGAAGAAUUCCGCAUGUCCGUGUACACUGUUCGUCGAGUUCGUCACACUGUUGCGUCACACUCGGGAGUGAUGACGAUGUUGGACAAGGAUAGAACCAUGUUACAGAAGAAGGACUCAACAACGAAGAGUUCCAUGAAGACGAAGGUGAUGAGUACGACUACUAUGGUGAUCUGUAGGAGUGAGGUCACGUGGACUACAUCGACUGCAUGUGGCUGA